AAGUCGAACGGCAGCGCGGGGCAACCUGGCGGCGAGUGGCGAACGGGUGAGUAAUAUAUCGGAACGUACCCAGAAGUGGGGGAUAACGUAGCGAAAGUUACGCUAAUACCGCAUACGAUCUACGGAUGAAAGUGGGGGACCUUCGGGCCUCAUGCUUUUGGAGCGGCCGAUAUCUGAUUAGCUAGUUGGUAGGAUAAAGGCCUACCAAGGCGACGAUCAGUAGCUGGUCUGAGAGGACGACCAGCCACACUGGGACUGAGACACGGCCCAGACUCCUACGGGAGGCAGCAGUGGGGAAUUUUGGACAGUGGGCGCAAGCCUGAUCCAGCAAUGCCGCGUGAGUGAAGAAGGCYUUCGGGUUGUAAAGCUCUUUUGUCAGGGAAGAAACGGCUGCGGCUAAUUCCGCGGCUAAGACGGUACCUGAAGAAUAAGCACCGGCUAACUACG
rnacentral:rRNA from 1 species